rnacentral:rRNA from 1 species
ACGAACGCUGGCGGCGUGCUUAACCCAUGCCAGUCGAACGGAAAGGCCCUGCUUUUGUGGGGUGCUCGAGUGGCGAACGGGUGAGUAACACGUGAGUAACCUGCCCUUGACUUUGGGAUAACUUCAGGAAACUGGGGCUAAUACCGGAUAGGAGCUCCUUCUGCAUGGUGGGGGUUGGAAAGUUUCGGCGGUUGGGGAUGGACUCGCGGCUUAUCAGCUUGUUGGUGGGGUAGUGGCUUACCAAGGCUUUGACGGGUAGCCGGCCUGAGAGGGUGACCGGCCACAUUGGGACUGAGAUACGGCCCAGACUCCUACGGGAGGCAGCAGUGGGGAAUAUUGCACAAUGGGCGGAAGCCUGAUGCAGCAACGCCGCGUGCGGGAUGACGGCCUUCGGGUUGUAAACCGCUUUCGCCUGUGACGAAGCGUGAGUGACGGUAAUGGGUAAAGAAGCACCGGCUAACUACGUG